GUUUCAGAAACGGCAGGCGGUACGGGCGGAGCGCCGUUAGUUGAAGAAGAGCUGCCGAAGGGGUGAGAUGGAGUCCAUCCAGGAGUGACCGGAGGGGAAUUCUGCUGAGGAAAUCUGAGCCGAUGCUGUCAAGUGUUAGAACUGAACAAGGCAAUUCAAAAGCAGCUCUUCUCAAUUCUCAAUGAAACAUCCCAAGGAGAGGAUUGUGCAGCAAAAUUAAAAGGCUGUCUCCUGCCAAGUAUAUGUACUGCUUCAGGAAGUGACAACCU